UACGGGGGGGGCAAGCGUUGUUCGGAAUUACUGGGCGUAAAGGGCUCGUAGGCGGCCAACUAAGUCAGACGUGAAAUCCCUCGGCUUAACCGGGGAACUGCGUCUGAUACUGGAAGGCUCGAGUUCGGGAGAGGAAUGUGGAAUUCCAGGUGUAGCGGUGAAAUGCGUAGAUAUCUGGAGGAACACCGGUGGCGAAGGCGGCAUUCUGGACCGAAACUGACGCUGAGGCGCGAAAGCCAGGGGAGCAAACGGG
rnacentral:rRNA from 1 species